GACGAACGCUGGCGGCGUGCUUAACACAUGCAAGUCGAACGGAAAGGCCCUGCUUUUGUGGGGUGCUCGAGUGGCGAACGGGUGAGUAACACGUGAGUAACCUGCCCUUGACUUUGGGAUAACUUCAGGAAACUGGGGCUAAUACCGGAUAGGAGCUCCUGCUGCAUGGUGGGGGCUGGAAAGUUUCGGCGGGUGGGGAUGGACUCGCGGCGUAUCAGCUUGUUGGUGGGGUAGUGGCUUACCAAGGCUUUGACGGGUAGCCGGCCUGAGAGGGUGCCCGGCCACAUUGGGACGGAGAUACGGCCCAGACUCCUACGGGAGGCAGCAGUGGGGAAUAUUGCACAAUGGGCGGAAGCCUGAUGCAGCAACGCCGCGUGCGGUAUGACGGCCUUCGGGUUGUAAACCGCUUUCGCCUGUGACGAAGCGUGAGUGACGGUAAUGGGUAAAGAAGCACCGGCUAACUACGUG
rnacentral:rRNA from 1 species